rnacentral:rRNA from 1 species
CGGACGGGUGAGUAACGCGUGGGCAACCUGCCCUAUACAGGGGGAUAGCAGCUGGAAACGGCUGGUAAGACCGCAUAAGUCGGUUAAAUCGCAUGAUUUGAUCGGGAAAUGAGCAAUCAGGUAUAGGAUGGGCCCGCGUCCGAUUAGCCAGUUGGCAGGGUAAAAGCCUACCAAAGCGACGAUCGGUAGCCGGACUGAGAGGUCGGACGGCCACAUUGGGACUGAGACACGGCCCAA